GAAGAGGCAAUUCGAUAUCCUCAUGUGAUUAUUACUGAUGGCAAACAAGCUUUGAAGUGCGUCACCACAAAACACUUCCUUCUAUCUGUUGUUUUGAUUUGUGCAAUUGCCUCUUUCAUAAAUUUUCUUUUCAACGAAUUUGAUAGUCAGAAUGAGCAAGAUAUUUGGUUUGUCCCACCAACAUGAAGACAAAAAAACUCAGGGAGUCUAACUAAGAAAGACAUGGGAACAAAUCAUUUCCAACUAUCAGUUCAAUUGAUGUGGUUCCGGCUCAUAGCACUUCUCUCAGUUGAUCUGACUGUUCAAGCAUUCUGUUCCUUUUGUCAGUCUGUGUUGAAAACCAAUCUAAGGAAUGAGUUCAAUUCACUUCCCUGCUCCUCCAUUCUCACAGGCUGAACUCCUACAUUGGCUACAGCUUCAAUGAAGAAAGACCAUUCUGGGAAGAAGAGAUGAGAUUGGAGAAAAGUUUGAAGAGAAGAGAAGCCUCGUUCCUUUCAUUCAAUUGUGUAAAAGAUCAAAGAGAUGCAGAUCCAUUUGUAAACUAUUUAUGCAAACAUUGAUCAAUGUUAGAAUAGCAGAGUAACUAACUACUGACGUGGCAUAAGUGAUCAGU